rnacentral:rRNA from 2 species
AGCAGCCGCGGUAAUUCCAGCUCCAAUAGCGUAUAUUAAAGUUGUUGCAGUUAAAAAGCUCGUAGUUGAAUUUCGGGAUCAAUAUGUUGGUCGUGCCUCGGUACGUACUAGCUUAUUGGUUUCUCCUUUCUGAAGAACCAUGAUGUCAUUUAUUUGGUGUCGUGGGGAAUCAGGACUGUUACUUUGAAAAAAUUAGAGUGUUUAAAGCAGGCUCACGCUUGAAUACAUUAGCAUGGAAUAAUGAAAUAGGACGUUUGAUUCUAUUUUGUUGGUUUCUAGGAUCGACGUAAUGAUUAAUAGGGAUAGUUGGGGGCAUUAGUAUUCAAUUGUCAGAGGUGAAAUUCUUGGAUUUAUUGAAGACUAACUACUGCGAAAGCAUUUGCCAAGGAUGUUUUCAUUAAUCAAGAACGAAAGUUAGGGGAUCGAAGACGAUCAGAUACCGUCGUAGUC